UACGUAGGUCCCGAGCGUUGUCCGGAUUUAUUGGGCGUAAAGCGAGCGCAGGUGGUUUAUUAAGUCUGGUGUAAAAGGCAGUGGCUCAACCAUUGUAUGCAUUGGAAACUGGUAGACUUGAGUGCAGGAGGGGAGAGUGGAAUUCCAUGUGUAGCGGUGAAAUGCGUAGAUAUAUGGAGGAACACCGGUGGCGGAAGCGGCUCUCUGGCCUGUAACUGACACUGAGGCUCGAAAGCGUGGGGAGCAAACAGG
rnacentral:rRNA from 1 species